ensembl:miRNA
CAUCUCUUGGCCACAGGUGGGUCCUAGAGAGUCUAGAGUGGAGGUCAGCCCUGACUGUGGGCUGUGGGCUGGGGAUUGG